rnacentral:rRNA from 1 species
AGUGAACGCUGGCGGCGUGCUUAACACAUGCAAGUCGAACGAGAACGGAAUAUAGCUUGCUAUAUUUGUCAGCUAAGUGGCGCACGGGUGAGUAAUGUAUAGAUAACCUGCCCUUAAGAAAGGAAUAACAGUUGGAAACGACUGCUAAUGCCCUAUAUGCCUUUAAUACAUAAGUAUGCAAGGGAAACGCUUUAGUGCUUAAGGAUGGGUCUGUAUGGUAUCAGCUUGUUGGUGGGGUAAUGGCUCACCAAGGCUAUGACGCCUAACUGGUUUGAGAGGAUGAUCAGUCACACUGGAACUGAGACACGGUCCAGACUCCUACGGGAGGCAGCAGUGGCGAAUAUUGCACAAUGGACGAAAGUCUGAUGCAGCAACGCCGCGUGGAGGAUGACACAUUUCGGUGCGUAAACUCCUUUUAUAUAGGAAGAUAAUGACGGUACUAUAUGAAUAAGCACCGGCUAACUCCGUGCCAGCCGCCGCAGUAA